rnacentral:rRNA from 1 species
ACGGGCAAGACCCACCAUUGAGGUCCAUAACAUCAUAACCAGUCAACUGCGAAGAGUCAUUAGAAAGUUAUAGUUUAUCCUAUAACAAAGGAAACGGAGAAAACAAAACUAAACACCCAAACCCAGGUGUAUCAUAAAUAUACCAGUUGGGAACAUAAUACUCCCAAACGCACUAUGUCCGAUAAACAUCAAGCUCGCUCAUCUGCUCCCAUGGUAUGUAUGGGCUACCUGGCUCUACGGGUAACGGGGAAUAGGGUCGAUUCCGGAAAGAGCCUGAAAACGGCUACUACAUCUACGGAAGGCAGCAGGCGCGUAAAUACCCAAUCCUGACUCAGGGAGGUAGUGACAAGAUAUAACGACGCGAUUAAAAGUCGCGAUUGUAGUGAGGGGUAUUUCCAAACCGAACCAUUUAGUACGAUUGGGAGGGGCAAGUCUGGGUGCCAGCAGCCGCGGUAAUUUCCAGCUCCAAUAGCGUAUAUUUAAAAGUUUGUUUGCAGUUA